rnacentral:rRNA from 1 species
GAUGAACGCUGGCGGCGUGCCUAAUACAUGCCAGUCGAGCGAACAGACGAGGAGCUUGCUCCUCUGACGUUAGCGGCGGACGGGUGAGUAACACGUGGAUAACCUACCUAUAAGACUGGGAUCACUUUGGGAAACCGGAGCUAAUACCGGAUAAUAUAUUGAACCGCAUGGUUCAAUAGUGAAAGACGGUUUUGCUGUCACUUAUAGAUGGAUCCGCGCCGCAUUAGCUAGUUGGUAAGGUAACGGCUUACCAAGGCAACGAUGCGUAGCCGACCUGAGAGGGUGAUCGGCCACCCUGGAACUGAGACACGGUCCAGACUCCUACGGGAGGCAGCAGUAGGGAAUCUUCCGCAAUGGGCGAAAGCCUGACGGAGCAACGCCGCGUGAGUGAUGAAGGUCUUCGGAUCGUAAAACUCUGUUAUUAGGGAAGAACAAAUGUGUAAGUAACUAUGCACGUCUUGACGGUACCUAAUCAGAAAGCCACGGCUAACUACGUG